UAAUCCAGAGUACCACGAGACACGUGAAACCUUGUGGGAAGCAGGGAGGACCACCUCCCAAGGCUAAAUACUAACUGGUGACCGAUAGUGAAGCAGUACCGUGAGGGAAAGGUGAAAAGAACCCCGGAAGGGGAGUGAAAUAGAACCUGAAACCGUAUGCUUACAAACAGUGGGAGCACGUUAAUGUGUGACCGCGUGCUUUUUGUAGAACGAGCCAGCGAGUUACGGUAUGUAGCAAGGUUAAGCACUUAAGGUGCGUAGCCGAAGGGAAACCGAGUCUGAAUAGGGCGACUAGUUGCAUGCUGUAGACCCGAAACCGAGUGACCUAUCCAUGGGCAGGUUGAAGCGGAAGUAAAAUUCCGUGGAGGACCGAACCACGUUGGUGUUGAAAAACCAUGGGAUGACCUGUGGAUAGCGGAGAAAUUCCAAUCGAACUCGGAGAUAGCUGGUUCUCCUCGAAAUAGCUUUAGGGCUAGCGUCUGGUUAUUGAGUAAUGGAGGUAGAGCACUGAAUGGGCUAGGGGCUGACAACAGUUACUGAACCCUAUCAAACUCCGAAUGCCAUAUACUUUUAUCCAGGCAGUCAGGCUGCGAGUGAUAAGAUCCGUAGUCGAGAGGGAAACAACCCAGACCAUCAGCUAAGGUCCCAAAGUGUAAGUUAAGUGGAAAAGGAUGUGGGAUUUCUAAGACAACUAGGAUGUUGGCUUAGAAGCAGCCACUCAUUUAAAGAGUGCGUAAUAGCUCACUAGUCAAGAGAUCCUGCGCCGAAGAUGUCCGGGGCUCAAACUUACCACCGAAGCUAUGGAUUCAAUAGAAUGGUAGAGGAGCUUCCUGUAUGGGUAGAAGUCGUAUCGUAAGAAGCGGUGGACUGUACAGGAGUGAGUAUGCUGGCAUGAGUAGCGAGAAAUAAGUGAGAAUCUUAUUGGUCGAAAACCUAAGGUUUCCUGAGGAAGGUUCGUCCGCUCAGGGUUAGUCGGGACCUAAGCCCAGGCCGAAAGGCGUAGGUGAUGGACAAUCGGUUGAUAUUCCGAUACCGCCAACUUUCGUUUGACAGAUGGGGUGACACAGAAGGAUAAGGUAUGCACACUAUUGGAUGUGUGUCUAAGCACUUAGGCGUGCUUGAUUGG
rnacentral:rRNA from 1 species